CUGAAAGGCUUAUGUGGAAAAUAAACAAGCGGACACGCGAUGGUUUUACAUCGUUGUUGACAACGCAUAAAAAUAGGCGCUUGUCAGGUCGUGUGGUUAUAUUAAAUAUAAGCGAAAGAGAGAACUUUCAAGAAAUGAAUAUAGCCACUACAGUGACCAUCAAGACCAUUAAAUUUGGAUAAUAAAACUCGAGGUGGAAACCAGGAGGCAGCCGGAAGAAUACAUCCGAGGACAGGACACAUCAAGAGAACCUGUACGCCGUGUCCCGUACGCCAGAAAGCUGCUCUACCAGGAGCUGCAGUCCGUGAACAUCAUCCCUCGACUCGAGCUGUCGCGCUACAGCGAGUGAGCAGGACAAGGACAGAGAUGUGUUGGGUGGAGACGAGGGUAAGGGGGGGUGAAUUUGUGAGUGAGUGAAAGGGACGGUUUUGUAAAGUCACACACUUCACCGGGAACUGUUUUCUCAGAUAAUCAAUCAGAUGUUUAGAUAAAAACAUGGACUGACUGCACUGAGGUGUAACAUGUGCCUGUGUGUGUGCCAGUUGUGCUCAGUGUGCUGAGGUGAAGCAUCCAAACCACACAGCCUGUUCUUCAAUCCGGGAUCGUGUCCCAAAUCAGAGCUGCGGAAGGGUAAGCGUCACAGUGAGUGUGCUGCAGCUGAUGUUGACCUGAAAAAUCGUGUCUCGCAGGUACAGUCUGCAGUCUGUGAAGUGGGGCUCCUGCUGCUCAGGUGUUCUCACUGAAGUCCGUUUCACCUGAUGAGAGGAGGCAGCUCUGACUUGAGGCUGUUCAAGAAUGAGCGCCACUUGAUCUGGUUCCACCUGUACCACAGGCAGAGAAACACAGGCCUGGACUCUUUGUUGGCCAGACAAAAUCAGAAACGGAAAUCAUUGGUUUUUACAACUGGGUCCAGUUCCACCUGCAAAGGAUAUGAGGCCAGGGAGCAUGAUUUGGUAAGUAUAACAUUUCACCAGACAGAAGAGUUUGAUUUCCUUUGAUUUCAGUAUUCUCAGCCGGUCGGCCUCAUGUGUGCCUGAUCACAAGUCGGUCCACUUCAUACAUGCACAGUAGCGCAGGCAAAUAGUUGCUCACACGCUCACUGUGGCCAUUAUUGAGCUCACGUUGGGUGGAGAUGAGAAGUUUCAAAGAGAUUUAAUUUAUAUAUUUUAUAUAAUAAAGUAAAUGUACGAAUGACCGGCAAUAAUUCAGUCACUGAAAUUAUCCAUGAAAUUAGCUAAGUAAUUCCUAAAAGUCUGUAGAUUGACUUUUACAACAAGGAAGCAGGUUUUCUCAUUAGCAGAAAUGCUCAAUAGACAGAAAAACAGAAACCCUAAAAGAAAGUUACCGCGAGAUUAAGAGAAACGGCCUUGUUUUACGGACACCACGGGUCAAGAAGGAGUCAGAAUAAUUUGUGUGUAUUUAUCCCACUUUUCGAGUUUCAUCGCUAAAUUGGUGUAGUUAGGUGCACAAGAUUGAAAACAAUUUGUUCUGAAAAAAUGCAGAUGAAGAGUUGUUUGUUGACAGUAUAGAUGGUUUGUUUUUAAACCUCUUACCACUCACAGAGUCCCCGGUGACGGUCUAGCUAUGUCAGAUGCCAGUCAUUUAGGAGACUAAUACUUUUUUGGGAUUUAAAUUGUGCUAACUCACUUUGUUCAACACAGCCCAGAGUAACAUUAAAAAUAAAACAUAUUAGAACUAAUUUUGUUGGACACAAGAAAAACUGAAGCAUCUUUGUAGGGAGCCGAACUAGGGCUUACAAGUUUUGCAGUGCCUUUGCAGGGACUUUGCUAUCUGCACAGAGCGUUUCUGGUGUGGCUUAUGCAAAAGAGAAUUGCAACAAUACAGCGUGUUUCUCUGCUCCCUUUCACACAGUAAGUAUGUCUGUUGUAGACUGUAGUAGUAAUAUAGCAUCCACCAUCUCCUGCUUGCAUAUUUCUGAAAACAUCUUAUUGGUGUGGCAGCCAUGGGUUGAGCCAGCCCUGCAAACCCUGUUGAUGGACGAUGCAGUGGACAGUGGGAGGAAGCAUCCUAAAGCUCUCUUUGCAGACCAGCCUGUGUGAUUCUCCACUCGCCGACCAGAAAAGACAAACGGCAUGUCUCAGUUGCAGCACCUCAUCCAUCCAUGUCUGAUCUUGCAUCGGCAGAUUCAGCAACACAGCCAGAGACUUCCUGUAAUCUAUUACAGUUGUUAAAAAAAAUGGUACAGGAACAGGUCGCUCAGGUUAAUCCUGUAUAAACAACUGUAAAUAUUGUUUUUCCUUCUUUAAAUAUUGUUGGCUUAUUAGAAAUAUUCUUGUUUAAUUGUUGUUCUCCAAAAAGUGGAGAAACAUCACUGAUGAUGUUCAUGAAUCCCCAGCUGACUCUGGUAAUCAUUUUAUGUUGUGAUUAUUAUGAUAAUAACAGAAACAGAUGCAUCUAUGUCAUGCAGUACUAAUUUAAAAACUCAAAUAUUUUGGACAAUUUAUAUUUUUCUAUCACAAUAAAUACAAGUCUUCAAGUAAACACACAGAGCAGUAGUGGAUGUUUUUUUUAAAAUAUUAUUUUUCUUUAUUUUGAUUAACCACCAACCACAUUGUUUAUAUUUGUAGUUUUUGAAGUAUGGAGCACCACAAAAACUACAAAUAAAAAAAAACAAACAAUCCAGCUAACCAAUUUUGUGCUCUCUACUACCAGAACCCACCAAAUUGUAUCUCAGCCCAGCCCGACGGGCCGAUGGGCUGGGCUGAGAUGGAUUUUGGUAGCCCGACUGGAGAAAUCGCUAGCCCCGGGACGUCGGGCUAGCGAUUUUGCGAGCCCUCACUUGAAUUUUUGAAUUUCAGUUUAAGGCAAUUAAAUUCAAUCCAAAAAUUCAAUCCCAACAAUCAAGUGAUCCCCUGUGAGCAACAGUGGACAGGAAAAACUCCCUUUUAACAGGAAGAAACCUGUGACAGAACCAGGCUCAGGGAGGGGCAGUCUUCUGCCAUGACUGGUUGGGAGGUGAGGGCAAAAUAAAACUGAACAUAAAGGAGAGCACAGUAUAGUUAUGAGAGAUUGUGGACCGUGGCUGGAAAACAUUACUGUUUUCAAAAGGCACCCGGUCCACAACCACAACUACAGUAGAGCUGGAAUGGAUAAUAAGGAUACUCCCACAGAGGACGGACAUUCACUUCAAAAUAUUUGCAACGGCCCAGCAAGCUACGGGAACAACAACGGCUGCUGUGACAAGACCUAGACCUACUUUAAGUGCGAGUUUGGCACCAGCACACCACCAACCACUAGUCUGAGACUCGUCAGUAGGUGGUUCUGUGACACGAGUCUUUCGUUCAUUCAACUCCCUUUCAAGGUUGGCCAUCCUAGUAUUAUUCAUUCUAUUUUGCUGCCGGAGAAAUGCUACACGCUGAACUAAUCUCUCAUUCUCUCUUUGCAACUGCUGCUGAGACUCCAAGCCACUAGUCUCAAGAUCAUGUAUAGUUUCCCUGAGAGUCCUUUGCUCUUUCUGUAAUUCACGCGACUUACUUGUAGCCUUGGCCAGCUCCUCAGUGAGAAACGCUAUCUGUCGCGUAAAAUGUAAUUCCUCUGUAUUAUCUCUGUCCUUAGGUGAAUUAUUUAAUGUUUCCUCCGACAUUUCUUUAAUAGUAUAAAAGCACAGUGUCAAAAGAAAAAAACUUUGUAUGAAUUGUAUGAAAGUAUUAUCUUUGUCAAAGACAACUCGCUGUUUCUGAAGACGCACCAAACUGUGUUAUAGCACCUCUAUUUAUGGACUCGUGUG
ensembl:lncRNA